rnacentral:rRNA from 1 species
GUUGAACGCUGGCGGCGUGCCUAAUACAUGCCAGUCGAGCGAACAGACGAGGAGCUUGCCUCUCUGACGUUAGCGGCGGAUGGGUGAGUAAUACGUGGAUAACCUACCUAUAAGAAUGGGAUAACUUCGGGAAACCGGAGAUAACAUCGGAUAAUAUAUUGAACCGCAUGGUUCUAUAGUGAAAGACGGUUUUGCUGUCACUAAUAGAUGGAUCCGCGCUGCAUUAGCUAGUUGGUAAGGUAACGGCUUACCAAGGCUACGAUGCGUAGCCGACCUGAGAGGGUGAUCGGUCACACUGGAACUGAGACACGGUCCAGACUCCUACGGGAGGCAGCAGUAGGGAAUCUUCCACAAUGGGCGAAAGCCUGACGGAGCAACGCCGCGUGAGUGAUGAAGGUCUUCGGAUCGUAAAACUCUGUUAGUAGGGAAGAACAAAUGUGUAAGUAACUAUGCACGUCUUGACGGUACCUAAACAGAAAGCCACGGCUAACUACGUG